UACGGAGGAUCCAAGCGUUAUCCGGAUUUAUUGGGUUUAAAGGGUGCGUAGGCGGCCUGUUAAGUCAGGGGUGAAAGACGGUGGCUCAACCAUCGCAGUGCCCUUGAUACUGAUGGGCUUGAAUUAACUAGAGGUAGGCGGAAUGUGACAAGUAGCGGUGAAAUGCAUAGAUAUGUCACAGAACGCCGAUUGCGAAGGCAGCUUACUAUGGUUUUAUUGACGCUGAGGCACGAAAGCGUGGGGAUCGAACAGG
rnacentral:rRNA from 1 species